rnacentral:lncRNA from 1 species
CCAGCUUGGGGCUGGCAGUGGAUCAGUGGGUGCCUGUCAGCAUUGGCUGGGAGGUGUGGCCUAGGAGGCCAGGGUGUGUGCUGGGGGCAGGGUUCCAGGUAGAACAAGGAGAGAAGAGAGUUGAGGCCAGGACUUGAACUGACAGCACUGAGAGACUGGGGUGAGUUGGGAGGUCACACAGAGGGGAAGGUCAUGGCCAGGAGGCUGGGAAGUGCCGGGAGAGGGGAAGCGGGAGGGAGAAGGCAGGGCCACCUCAGCUACUCAGAGGGAACAGAGGGGCAGCCCCCUGCCAGGGAAGGGAAGGGCUGGGCUGGGCUGGGCUGGACUGAAGGCUGCCUCUUCCUGGAGACAGUGGGGUGACUGGGGUUGCAAAGAUGCUGCUGUCUGGGAUGGAGGCAACCCUCCUAGCUCUGUCCACACCCUUGUGAAACAGUCUCUCUCCAGCCCUGUGUGGCCCUCAGGCUGUGCAUGGCACAAGCAUGUCCUGGUCCCCAGCCCUUGGGCCUGGCUCUGGGCUUUCAGGAAGAGCCUUCUUGGGGACAUGCUUGGUCUCUCUGGCCAGGACAGGCAGGAGGGUGGGCCCCAGAGAGGCCCCAGAGGUGGCCUUUGUG